ensembl:snRNA U6 U6 spliceosomal RNA
GUGCACACUUCAGCAGCACAUAUACUAAAAUUGGAACGAUACAGAAAAGAUUAGCACAACCCCUACUAGGCCCAGCUGGGUGUGGUGGCUCAUACUUGU